rnacentral:rRNA from 1 species
CUGGCGGCGUGCUUAACACAUGCAAGUCGAACGGGGCGAAGUGAUAGCUUGCUAUUAUGGAGCCUAGUGGGCAAACGGGGUGAGUAACGCGUAGGCAACCUGCCCUUCAGAUGGGGACAACACCUCGAAAGGGGUGCUAAUACCGAAUGACGUUUCCUGGUCGCAUGACCUGGAAACCAAAGGCCGGGCAACCGGUCACUGAAGGAUGGGCCUGCGUCUGAUUAGCUAGUUGGUGGGGUAACGGCCCACCAAGGCGACGAUCAGUAGCCGGUCUGAGAGGAUGAACGGCCACAUUGGGACUGAGACACGGCCCAAACUCCUACGGGAGGCAGCAGUGGGGAAUCUUCCGCAAUGGGCGCAAGCCUGACGGAGCAACGCCGCGUGAGUGAAGAAGGUUUUCGGAUCGUAAAGCUCUGUUGAGAGGGACGAGAGAUAUAAUCAGGAAAUGGGUUAUAGAGGACGGUACCUUUCGAGGAAGCCACGGCUAACUACGUG